rnacentral:rRNA from 1 species
UGGGGAAUUUUGCACAAUGGGGGAAACCCUGAUGCAGCGACGCCGCGUGAUUUAGAAGGCCUUCGGGUUGUAAAAAUCUUUUUUAUGGGAUGAAAAUGACAGUACCAUAAGAAUAAGGUCCGGCUAAAUACGUGCCAGCAGCCGCGGUAAUACGUAUGGACCGAGCGUUGUCCGGAAUCAUUGGGCGUAAAGGGUACGUAGGCGGCCCAGUAAGUUAGAAGUGAAAUAAUAUAGCUCAACUAUAUAAAGCUUUUAAAACUGCUAGGCUUGAGAGAUGGAAGGGAAAGUGGAAUUCCUAGUGUAGCGGUGAAAUGCGCAGAUACUAGGAAGAAUACCGGUGGCGAAGGCGACUUUCUGGUCAUCAUCUGACGCUGAGGUACGAAAGCGUGGGUAGCAAACAGG